rnacentral:rRNA from 1 species
GACGACGCUGGCGGCGUGGAUUAGGCAUGCAAGUCGAACGGUAUCAUCCUUUCGGGGGUGAGAGAGUGGCGAACUGGUGAGUAACACGUAGGUUAUCUACCCUCAAGACGGGACAACCCAGGGAAACUUGGGCUAAUACCGGAUGUGAGCAACUUUUAGUUGUUUGAAAGGUGGCGUAAGCUGUCGCUUGGGGAUGAGCCUGCGUCCUAUUAGUUAGUUGGUGAGGUAACGGCUCACCUAGGCAAUGAUAGGUAGGCGGCCUUAACGGGUGGUCGCCCACACUGGGGAUUGAGAUACGGCCCAGACUCCUACGGGAGGCAGCAGUCGAGAAUAGUCUACAAUGGUCGGAAGACUGAUAGUGCGACGCCGCGUGAACGAUGAAUCCCUUCGGGGUGUAAAGUUCUUUUAUAUGUGAGCAGUGCUUCUUAUAUUAACAGUAUGGGGAGAGAGAUAUUAGCAUAUGAAUAAGCAACGGCUAACUCCGUG